rnacentral:rRNA from 1 species
CAGCAGCCGCGGUAAUACCGGCCCCGCGAGUGGUCGGGGUGAUUAUUGGGCUUAAAGCGUCCGUAGCCGGGUUGGGAAGUCCUCCGGGAAAUCUGGCCGCUUAACGGUCAGAAUGCCGGAGGAUACUCCCAGCCUAGGGAGCGGGAGAGGCCGAGGGUAUUCCCGGAGUAGGGGUGAAAUCCUAUAAUCCCGGGAGGACCACCUGUGGCGAAGGCGCUCGGCUGGAACGCGUCCGACGGUGAGGGACGAAGGCCAGGGGAGCAAACCGGAUUAGAUACCCGGGUAGUCCUGGCUGUAAACGAUGCGGACUUUGUGUCGGACAAGCUAUGAGCUUGUCCGGUGCCGGAGGGAAACCGUUAAGUCCGCCGCCUGGGGAGUACGGCCGCAAGGCUGAAACUUAAAGGAAUUGGCGGG